GGACCAAGGAGUCUAGCAUGUGCGCGAGUCAUUGGGAUAUUGACUAAACCUAAAGGCGCAAUGAAAGUGAAGGUCCGCCAUGCGCGGACCGAGGGAGGAUGGACGUUCUCGAGGGAUCGUCCCGCACUCCCGGGGCGUCUCGUUCUCAUCGCGAGAAGAGGCGCACCCAGAGCGUACACGCUGGGACCCGAAAGAUGGUGAACUAUGCCUGGUCAGGACGAAGUCAGGGGAAACCCUGAUGGAGGUCCGUAGCGAUUCUGACGUGCAAAUCGAUCGUCGGAACUGGGUAUAGGGGCGAAAGACUAAUCGAACCAUCUAGUAGCUGGUUCCCUCCGAAGUUUCCCUCAGGAUAGCUGGCGCUCGCUUCUCGCGAGUCUCAUUCGGUAAAGCGAAUGAUUAGAGGCAUUGGGGUCGAAACGGCCUCAACCUAUUCUCAAACUUUAAAUGGGUGAGAUCUCCGGCUUGCUUGAACUGUGAAGCCGCGAGAUAUCGGAUCAGAGUGCCAAGUGGGCCACUUUUGGUAAGCAGAACUGGCGCUGUGGGAUGAACCAAACGCUGAGUUAAAGCGCCUAAAUCGACGCUUAUGGGAUACCAUGAAAGGCGUUGGUAACUUAAGACAGCAGGACGGUGGCCAUGGAAGUCGGA
rnacentral:rRNA from 3 species